rnacentral:rRNA from 1 species
UGCCAGCCGCCGCGGUAACACGGGGGGCGCAAGCGUUAUUCGGAAUUAUUGGGCGUAAAGGGCGCGCAGGCGGUCUUGUCCGUCAGGUGUGAAAGCCCGGGGCCCAACCCCGGAAGAGCAUUUGAAACAGCCACACUUGAGUACUGGAGAGGAAGGGGGAAUUCCUGGUGUAGAGGUGAAAUUCGUAGAUAUCAGGAGGAACACCGAUGGCGAAGGCAUCUCUCUGGGCCGAUAUUGACGCUGAGGCGCGAAGGCGUGGGUAGCGAACGGGAUUAGAUA